AAUUUGAUUACACGCUUUAGGUCUUAUUUUUUCUUUCCACUGAUUUAGCGUUAGGUUAAGUAUUUCACACUUUCGCUUCAGUCUGACAUUUGCUUGGUGUGUGAGGGCACAGAGACGUGUAUGGACCGUGUGUUUGACUGUGUUUGUCUUGUUUGUUUGUUUAUUUAUCUAUAUGGGCAUGGCCGAGCCUUGAGAAACAUCAACAAAGCCAUUGGACUAUUCUGAGUAAAUUGACCAAUUCAAAUUCAGGAUCCUGAAACAAUUUGGCUAUAACCUCUAAUUGAUGAAGGACAUCUUAAGAAUUCAUUGUACAAGGCUUCCUCUCCAGUGUUGCCGGAACUGUUAUAAAACCCAUGCAUGGUUGUAUAUUUUAGUUUGAUCAUUUAUACUCAUUGAAUUAUUGUUGUUUGCUUUAUGUUUUAAUUUCUUUGUAAUUUUUUCUCUGUGACACAGGUGAAGAUGCUGGUGGCAAAGUGGAUCCCACUCAUUUCUUUCUCCCACACACAUUCUUACUCUCUCCCUCUCUCUCUGUGUAUGUGCAUGUGUAUGUGUUUGUGUGUCUGUGUGUGUCCAUGUCGUGAUGUCACUGUACCUUUAAUUGCGCUGGCUGUUUGUAACUGUAUGUGUCUGAUGUUGAAGGUAUCAGAGGCUAGGGUCAGUAAGAGCUAGGACAUUUUUGUGCAUAACCUUUAAUCCCUAGGCGAUCGGUUCGGGGAACUUCUGGUCUGGCCGGAGUGUGAAUCUUCCUACCAACUAUCUGCCGAGAUCAAUUGGACUGCACAAGCCGAGAAAGCCUUCAUUGGACCAAAACCACACACACGAAGAUACUUCGCCUUCGGUGCCAGGCGUCUGGGUCCUGCUGAAGGUCACCAAAAGAAAGUGGACGGAACCAAGGUGGACCGGGCCAUACAGGAUCACGGAGAGGACGUCACACGCUGUCCGGCUGGACGGGAGGAGCCUAACCUGGAAGAGAAGCAGCUGACAUCUGCCUAACCAGAGAAAGGAUCCAAAAACCAGGAAGAGAAGUAGCUGACUACAGUAGCAUGCCAAGCUGCCACCACAUCCUGCAGGACGAGAAUCUUGACAUCAUCACCCCCUGCAGCUGCCUGGAGCCAGUGAAAGGACCUCAACAGGGGGAAGAAGUAACCACCCUAUGAACAUUCUACAAGGGUUCUAUUUAACACCCUCAUUUAUUUUAGAAGGGUUAUAUUUAACACCCUCCAUUUAUUUUAUCUGGGUUCUAUUUUAUACCCUCAUUUAUUUUACAAGGGUUAUAUUUUAUACCCACUACUCAUUUUAUAUUAUUAUUCAUUUACCUGUUUAGUAUUAGAUAUAUGUUUACACUCA